rnacentral:rRNA from 1 species
AUUGCCCUGUGAAGAUGCAGGUUACCCGCGACAGGACGGAAAGACCCCGUGGAGCUUUACUGUAGCCUGAUAUUGAAAUUCGGCACAGCUUGUACAGGAUAGGUAGGAGCCUUUGAAACGUGAGCGCUAGCU